rnacentral:rRNA from 1 species
CUAUCGCUUACAGAUGGGCCCGCGGUGCAUUAGCUAGUUGGUAGGGUAAUGGCCUACCAAGGCAACGAUGCAUAGCCGACCUGAGAGGGUGAUCGGCCACACUGGGACUGAGACACGGCCCAGACUCCUACGGGAGGCAGCAGUAGGGAAUCUUCCGCAAUGGACGAAAGUCUGACGGAGCAACGCCGCGUGUAUGAAGAAGGUUUUCGGAUCGUAAAGUACUGUUGUUAGAGAAGAACAAGGAUAAGAGUAACUGCUUGUCCCUUGACGGUAUCUAACCAGAAAGCCACGGCUAACUACGUGCCAGCAGCCGCGGUAAUACGUAGGUGGCAAGCGUUGUCCGGAUUUAUUGGGCGUAAAGCGCGCGCAGGCGGUCUUUUAAGUCUGAUGUGAAAGCCCCCGGCUUAACCGGGGAGGGUCAUUGGAAACUGGAAGACUGGAGUGCAGAAGAGGAGAGUGGAAUUCCACGUGUAGCGGUGAAAUGCGUAGAUAUGUGGAGGAACACCAGUGGCGAAGGCGACUCUC